AUGCAGGCGGGGUUGGUCACGUGACUCCGCGCUGCCCUGCUUCCCUGGGGCUGCGCUGGAGGCGCUGGGCGGGGCGUUGUCGCUGGCGCUUCUGCGGUCCCUGCCCUGGAGUCUAGGGGUGAGCCGGACUUCUGCGCAUCACGUCCGUGACACGCAGUAGAUGAUGGUUGCAGGGGCUCGGAGUAGGUGGCCUCCGGAGGUCCCACCCAGCCCUGCUUCGAUGCAGUGUUGCUGGCUAUCCGGUAAUUGUUGUAUUUGUAUGGUUAUUUCAACCAGGGGUUUGCUGCCAGUGCUUUCUUAUGACUGCUUGCCUCAAAAUAAAGAAAUGCUUCAACUUUGAUGACCCAGUUCUCACUUGCUCGCUGCCACCUUACGAUGCGCAAUAUAAAGUAAAUAAGACCUAUUUGUAUAUUUUCUACUGUAAGAUACUUUUCCAGCAAAUACGAGAAUUUUGAGCUUCCAAUAUGAUAAUUUCAUAUUUAAGACCUAACAAUGCUGCUUCUUGACUCAGUGAUCCCUGCCAACUCCCUCCCCAUCUCUACACCAGCCAUUGUCCCACACCAGAGAGAAGGGCAUGACCCCCAGUGUCUGUAGUCUCCUCGUGGGUAGCAGAGAAGUGGCACCAGGCUCCUGCUGCCAAAUCUCUGGAGAGCCCCCAUCCUGGUGUGCAGGGCUGGGUGAAAGUGAUGGAGGCCACCAGGACCUGGUCAUGGCACAUAGGAGCUGUGCCAGGCCAUCCUUAUGGGGCUGAGACACUCCUGGGCCCGAACUGGUAAGUGGGACUGGUGGGAGGUGGCUCCUGUGGCCUAAUCUUUGUUCAAUCAUGGCAUUCCUUUUGGGCCAACAGUGUGAGCACUGCUGUUCUACAGACUCACUGAAAUUCUCAUUCAAAAUUUCUUGAAUUGGAGGUGAUACCAGGUGUUGCCAUCGUAGAAUCAUCAUAGAAAAAGAGGGUUGGAAGAGACCUCAGGAAGUCAUCUGGUCCACCCCCCUGCUCAAAGCAGGACCAUCCUCAACUAGAUCGAUGUGAGAGUAACACUGCGAGGGCCCCUAAUUAUGGCAAUGACCCAAAAUGAGAUAUGCAAAAAAAAAAUUAUGCAGGAAAAUGGAAGUGGUGUAAGCUUUAUUUCUAAAGUAUAAAUGAUUUCUGCCCCCUAUAGCCACAGUUUAAUGCCUUUGUUUCUCAGGCAAAUAAUUGCUGGUAGUAGAAGCUAGGGGAUAGUAUCUUUGUGUAGAAUGGGGAGUGAAUUGAGAGGCAUUUUAGGAAUGUGGACAUGCUGUUGCAUCACAACGUAAUGACAUCACAAGUUGGAUGAUAUUGCUUCACAUUAUGACAACGCUGCCUCCUAACAUCAUUUUGCUGCCUCCUGCAAACUAGCGUCCUGUGGCAAACGAUCGUAGAAUUACAGAAAAUUUGGGUUGGAGUGGACCUCAGGAGGUUGCCCAGGCCCCCGUGUCCAAAGCAAGACCAUCGCCAGCUCUGUCAUCUCAGCUGGCUUUGUCUACCCAUGUUUUCAAAACUGGGCAGAAGGGUGAAACUGCAUCUCAGAGACAGUAGGAGUGAACAUAUACAAAAGCCUAUACAAUAAGAAAGGUCUGAUUUAAAAAAAAAACUAAGUUAAAAAGAUACAAUUUUAUUUAUAUAUAUAUAGGUUCACUCUAGCAAGUGGAGUAUAUUGUGUGCUAGGGGUAUCAAACUCAUCUGGUGCAGAAUUAACUCAAUAAAAAGUCAAUUUUAACUCUGUAUAUCUUAUUUUUCUAUUCAGUUUGGACAAAAAACAAAUGAUUUAAAGCCAUCUUUUGCCCUGAAGUUGGAAGCAUUCUAAGUCAGAAAUGUAAUAGACCCUUUGUAUGCUAUACAUUGCUGUCAAGUUUUUAGCAAGCGGCCUUAGGGCAGGGGGCUGAUAUAUAAACUUCGCUCUCCCUGUGCACAUGUACAGUGAAGUAGAUAGAAAGCUUAGUUGGGUAAAAGACAUAAUCCAGAACAAGCACUGACUUUGCAUUGUUUUGUUACAAAUUCAAAGAAAAAAAGAUGCCUUUAACAUGUCUGUGAAUAUGUAAUUAUAUAAAUAUAAAAUCUACUUAUACUAUAAUUAUAUAAAUGUCUUUAUUAUACUUCAGUGACUGUUGGCAAUUAAUUAUAUAAUCAGCAGUCUAACUCUAGCUUAUGUUUCACUCCUAAUUAUUUUCUCAAUGACUUUUCAAUUGGUAAUAAUGUUGUAUUAUAGUGUAUACAGCAUGUGAAAAGAA